GCUAGCUGUCAUAAUAAUUAUUUUGUAAUGUGCAAAUAGGCUUUACGUGUACCAUAGUCACCAAAUUUACCUCCACCCCUACUUUUGAGUGAAAGUUCCUGCAUAGGCUAAUUUGCCUCGAGAAUACGCCCACCUGCAUUUGUCAGUGAGCAAGUUGUCAAGAAAAGGUUUAGCCGUUUAUUGUGUACGCUGGUUAGCUCUGAAUAUAGCUAGAUAUAUACCCUAUUUUAAAGUAUAAGAGUCAAGGACAAUCUUCUCUGAAUCUCUGUUAAAGCAUAGAUAGUAGAGAAAGGGGAUUGGAACGGGAUCACGUGAGCUUAUAUAUAUGCUUGCAAGGUAAUGCCUCUGGACAGUGCGUUCAGCAACCAAUAGAUACCUUGAGGUGUGAUUUUACUGGUUUUGAGGUCAAGAGAAGCUCUCGAAAAGAAGCAAAUGAGAGGACACUAGUGUCGAUGUGUGGCAGGAACUUGGACUGAGAAAUCAUCAUACUUCUUGAGUUAUUGGCCAAUUUGUUGAUUUCCACUAGCCAUUUUUACAGGGGAGCUUCUCCAUAGCUGAGUUUAUAUUUAAGACUCGGCAAUAUUAAAGAUCAAUGUCCAUAUUAUUGCCAUUAGAUUUUGAAAAUCACUAUUCAUGCAUGCUCUGAUUUUGUCACCGAAGUGUACAUGUAGACGUGUGGCAAGAACUUGAACUGAGAAAUCACUGGAAGAACAUUGAUGUAUAAUUAUGUUUAGACUAUGCUAAAAGUUUUACCUUUUAUUGAUUAGCAUAAAC